rfam:Pseudomonas fulva 12-X, complete genome.
CUUGACGACCAUAGAGCGUUGGAACCACCUGAUCCCAUCCCGAACUCAGUAGUGAAACGACGCAUCGCCGAUGGUAGUGUGGAGCUUCUCCAUGUGAGAGUAGGUCAUCGUCAAGC